rnacentral:lncRNA from 1 species
UUCAAACCUGUCCUCUUCCCACCAGUCUCCAUGGUCUCUCCAAAGGCAGGACAGAAGAAUUCAUGAGUCAUGGAAACAGAAAACAGGAACACUGGUCCAACGUGGUACAGAAAAGAUUGAGCUAUUUCUGAAGGUAAGAAUGUCUCACUGUGUAAAGAAGGUAAGGGGGGAACACAGGAGAAAGAAAGGAUGUGAGCCCAGCCGGCAGCUGGCUGGUGGCAAGGAGAGCCCAAAAUGCUCACGUAAUAGGUGGAACCCAGCAUGUGCUCCACAAAGGGGGACCUGGGACAGGGGCUUCAAAGGCCCGGAGCUAAAGAACUGGAUCCUACUCUGUAAACAAGCAGGUGUAGUCUGAAGUUUGAGCUCACAGCUCUAUAACGACAGAGAGCAAGACAGAUUUGAGAAGUAUUUGGGUUAACUGGCAGGACCUGAGGAAAUGUGCCUGGGGAUUGUGAAAAGGGUGAAUCAAGGAGGACUCAGUUAGGCUCCUGGUGAGGGCAAGAGGCAAGUGGAGGAACCGUCACCACUUGAGAUGAAGAAGCCAGGAGAAGAACAGGUCCUGGUGUCCUAGUGGCUGUCAUUCACAUUUGAGAUGGAUGCCACCAGUCUGCGUGUGGGAAGAGAGCGCUGAGAUCAUUGCAGAGCAAGAGGUAGCCCGAGUGAAGGGGAAGCCCAGGGAUGGGGGGAAAAGAUGCCAGAAAAGAAGAAAGGUCAAAAGCCAGAUCUGUUCCCUCCUCCACAGCCCUUGUGAUGUGACAUAGUACACCACUGACAGAGCAGGCAAGACACCCAGGGUCCCGACUCCUGGUCUACGUAUUCUUUAUUUCUGUCAUAUUCUUAUAAGAUGGAGACGCAAUAUUACUUUCCUCUCUCCUUUCAAGAAUCUGUUUUUCCCAGCUAUCUCACAACAUUUAAAGUUUUUAAAAAAAUAUUUUUAAUUGGGGCUGGGGUUGUGGCUCAGUGGUAGAGCACCCGCCUCGCACGUGUGAGGCACUGGGUGCGAUCCUCAGCACCACAUAAAACUAAAUAAAGAUAUUGUAUCUAAGUAUAGCUAAAAAUAUUAUGUAUAUAACAUAUUUAUGAUGGACACAAUACCUUUAUUUUAUUUAUUUAUUUUUAUGUGGUACUGAGGAUCGAAUCCAGUGCCUCACAAUUGCUAGGGAAGUGCUCUACCAUUGAACCACAACCCUAGCCCCAAAACAUUUAAAAUUUAAUUUUAAAAAUAAAAGAAAGGACCUGAGGAUGUAGAUCAGUUGUAGACCUAAUGCUUAGCAUUCUUGAGGCCCUGGCUUCAAUCCCCAGCACCAAAGUAAAAGCAAUAAAUGCACAUUAAAAUAUUCAAAUGAUCUAGAAAAGAACAAAACAAAAAUUUAUUCUUCCUUUCCACAUUCCAAGCUUUCAAUUUCUUCACCCUUUCUAUGGGGGAAGUUGACCACUAUUAAAGGGUUCUUGUGUAUCUCUGAAAAAAACUGAAUAUCUUCAUCUAUACUUGAGGGUCCAACCCAGGGCCUCACACAUAGGAGGCAAACACUUUACCACUGAGCUACAGCCCCAGCCCCUAGCAUAUACUUUUAUUUACACAAAUGGUGUCAUGCUACAAGCACAAUGCUUUGUUCAUAUAAUAUGUCAUGUUGCUUGUUCAUGUAAUAAUCUGUCUUCAGAGGUAGCUUGGUAUGGUGGUUGAGAGAAUGGCCUUGGGAGUCAGAAUGCUCAGUUUUCAUCCAACAUUGUGAGACAUUCUGAUACCUACAUUUGUGAGACAAUAGACAGGUUAUUCUGUGUUUCAGUUUUUGCCUUUGUAAAUGAGGUUAAUAAUGGUACCCCACUUUACAGGAUUGUUGUGUUAAAUAAGUUAAUAUAUCUAAAGCACUCAGAAUACUAAUUGCUCUAUAUUCAUUAUUACUAUUACAUGCUUACAUCAACAUAUGUAGAUCUGAUCAUUUUCUUUUUUCACACAUUGCAAUAAAUUAUUCUGAAAAAAAAUAGUAAUUUUUGUUUGUUGUUUUUGUACUGGGGACUGAACCCAGUGACACUUUACCACUGAGCUACAACCCCAGUCCUUUUAACUUUUUAAAUUUUGAGACAUGGUCUCACUUUUCUUGCCUCAGCAUCCAGAGUAGCUGGGAUUACAGGUGUGCACCACCACAGUCAAAUGUUUUUGGUUUUGAGUUUCUUUUACAGUAAACUUUUCAACUACAAAUACUGAAUCUAAGAAUGAUGUUCUGGGGCUAGGUAGGUAUGUGCAGCUCAGUGGUCCAGCGGCUUGCCCAGUAUGUAAAAGGCCCUGUGUCUGAUCCCCAGCAUGAGGGAAUAAAAGAUGUUUCGAGGACAAGCAUAACAGGAUUGAUAAAACGCAAACUAACUAAAUAUAUACUUAUAAUAUAAACUGGCAUACAAAUUAUCAAAUAUCAUAACAACAGUAAUGUGUCAGGACACAUGACUAAACCAGGCAAGGUCACUCCAGGUGAACUGGGCUGGAACGAAAUAAUGACAGAGAGAGAGAAAUACUUUUCUCUUUGGGUUCUGUGACGGCCCCUCUGACCCAGCUCCCACAAAGGAGGUAAGGCAGGCAAGAAAGAGAGGGAACACGCCUCAAACCCGGGUUUUAUUGCGGGAGGCUGUCCAAAAGAACAUUCCAUCCAUAUAAGGCAGAAGGGUAAUGUUACAAGGGGCAGUUACUCCCACCGGGUAACGCCCACUCCCAGAGCUGUGCUCCUCCUCUGAGCAGAGAUGGGGAUCCCCCUGCACUUCCGCACUUCCAUCACUCACAGGUAGGGGGUGCUCAGCUCCCAUGUGGCAGCUCCCACGAUAAUGUACAUACACUAACGAUUUAUGGGUAAACAUUAACCAUUCUAAUUCCAGUUCCAAAAGAUAAUAGAGUUCAUUUUAAGUUAUAUUUAAAAGCUAAUGCUUUCCAAAGGGCUGAUGAUUUCAUAUUUAAAAUGCAAGGCCUCCACCUUGAAAUUGUAUUGUAUUGGCUUCAGAAAAAUAUAAAUCAUUGCUUUAUUUAUUUAUUUUUAAUAUUUAUUUUUUGUUACAGUGGGAAACAACAGCUCAAAUCUACAUUGUUAUAUCUGAUGCCAGCGAUCGAACCCAGGGCCCCCCACAUGCUAGGAAAAUGCUCCACUGCUGAGCCACCUCCCCAGCCAGUUUUGCUUUAUUUUGAAUAACUCACUAACCUUACGAAAAGAAAAAAGGACUAGGGGUUCAGCUCAGUAGCAAAGCACCCCUGGAAUCAAUCCCCAGAACCAGAGAGAGAGAGAAUAUCCCAUUGUAAGCACGCUAAUUAAUAUUUAGCUGAGUGGUGAUGGUGGAGUGGAACUGAUGAAAGAGGCUCCUAGACAUGUAGAAGUCAGUACAAAAACUUUGAUAAUUCUUGGUGGGUAAGGGCAACUUCAUGCAACCAAAUAACAUGAAAGUAAAUCAAUAACCUUCAGAAAAGACUAAAAUGUCUCCUCCCACCACAGAGAGCAAUGUGAACAGUGUACACGCAAACCGGGGUUCUGUCCAUGAGAACUAGGACUACCUGUAGUUCCUAUCAAACCCAAGAACAUCAGAGGCCCAGCCAUCUCACCUCCCGAGGCCUCCCUGACCCCAGCAAGUUAGGCAGCUGAGCCUCCACUGGUUUCCCUCAUGUCUCAAGUGUCUGCUGUGCCACGGGCCUCUCAGCCCUGAGGCUGCUCUGAUGUCCUCUCAUUUGCAGUCUUGUUGCCUUGGCUUCCUGGAGAUUCCCAGGACUCCUAGAGGACUUCCCUGAAGCGCAUGGCUUCUCCACUCUUGGGCUGCCCUCUCCAGCUUCUCUCUCACCCUCGCUGCCCUCAUCUGUGGCAUGCCCACCUUCUCCCUCGGUUUCUGAAGAGCCCUGCUGCUGAGCUGCGUGGAUUCCAGUACAUUUCACUCCUGGGUUACUGUCUAUUUCCCACAAUCCAUUAAAUCAUUUCCAUGUGUUUGACUUUCCAAACAUGUCUUUGCUUCUUUAUAUGGAAAAAGGUCUUUAGGGCCUAAAAAUGCAGUUUUACAGGUGCCAAAAAAUAAGGUAGGACACUUGUGUGCUGCUUCUCGGCGCCCCCCAGGAGGUCAUCCAUCCAGGAGGGGCCAGUGUGAGUAGCCUUCUUGUUGGUGAUGACCAGGUCACCUGCUCUGUAUUCCUGGGGCUCAGGAUGCAACAUCCUGGCCAUUCAUUCCCCUUCCUGGUCAUCCUCUGUAACCACCAAGACGCUGAGAGGCCACACCUCUCCCCCCUGCAGGCAGUGCCCCCAAAGACCUUAAACUUGGUGGGUGGGCCUGAUAAUUCUUCAUCAUUUUGGUGAUCUUCGAUCCUUCUUGUAGAUCAAAUUAUCAUCUGGGGUUAUUUCCCUUCAUGCUGAAGAAAUUCCUUUAGCAUUUCUCACAGUGCAGAUUCCUUGUAACACGUUCCCUUUGUUUUUCUUUAAAGCCAAGUUUUUAUUUUGACUGUGUGUGUAGGUGUGGUACUAGGGAUUGAAUCCAGGGGUGCUCUACCAUUGAGCUUCAUCUCCAGCACUUUUUUUUUUUGAGACAGGGUCUCACUAAGUUGCUGAGCUGACCUUGAACUUGCAGUUCUCCUGCCUUAGCCUCCUGAGCCACUGGGAUCACAGGUGUGUGCCAUCAUGCUCAGUUUGGCUUCAUUUUUUUUCCUGACAUGAUGAUGCCCAUUGUAUACUUUUCCUUCUUUCCACUUUUUUUUUUUUUUGGUACCAGGGAUUGAACCCAGCCACUUCCCCAUCCUUUUUAAAUAUUUUAUUUAGAGACAGGGUCUUGCUGAGUUGCUAAGUUGCUGAGGCUGGCUUUGAACUCAGGAUCUUCUUGCCUCAGCCUCCCAAGAUACUGGGAUUAAAGGCAUGUAUCACCACACCCGGUUCUUUCCACAUUUUUUAUUGAUGCAUUAUAGUUGUACAUAAUAAUGGGCUUGUUGUUAUAACUUGGCUUAAAUUUUAAAGGAAAGUUUUGCUGGAUACAUAAUUGGGGGCUGACAAUCAUUUUUCUUUCAGUACAUUUACUUCUACUCUCCAUUGUUUCUCCUAGGAAUCUGCUGUCACUGGGUGUGGUGGUGCAUGCCAGUAAUCCCAAGGAGUUGAGAGGCCGAGGCAAGAGGAUCACAAACUCAAGGUCAGCCUCAACAACUAAGCAAGAUUAUCUCAAAACUAAAAAGGACUGGGGAUAUGACUCAGUGGUAAAGUGCCCCUGGGAUCAAUCCCUGGUACCACAAAAACAAACAAGCAAACUUAUCUUUAUAUAUAUAUAUUAGUUGUAGAUGGACACAAUACCUUUAUUUUGUUUAUUUAUUUUUAUGUGGUGCUGAGGAUCGAACCCAGUGCCUCACACGUGCAAGGCAAGUACUCUACCACUGAACCCCAGCCCCAAACAAACUUAUCUUGCUGGGGGUUUGUUGAUUGGUCUGUAAGUUAAUAUAUUUCAUUAAAUUUGUAGAGUUCCUGGCCAUUGCUCCUUCAGAUAUUUUCUGCCCAUUCUUUCUCGAGUUUCCUCUGGAGCUCUAGUUACACACACGUUAGAUGGCCUGAUACUGUCCCAUGGGUCUCUGAGGUCUUUUCUUCAAUCUUUUUUUUUUAUGUUUCUAAAACUGAGUAAAUACUAUUGACCUGGUUUCCAUUUUUAUUAUUUUGAAAUGCUGGGGAAUCAAACCCAGGGUCUUAAGUAUGCUAAGCAAGCACUCCACCAGUGAGCUACAUCUCAGUCCAAUCCAUUUUUCAGUCUAAGAAGUUUUCUGCUACCUGGAAUCUGCUACUGAGCUUGGCCAGUAAAAAUUUCAAUUUAGUUAAUGUAUGUUUUUCAUAAAAUUCACAAUUUUCACUUUUUCUUUCUUUUAUUUUUAUUUUGUUUGUUUGUUUAUUUAUUCAUCCAUUUAUUUUGUGGUGCUGGGGAUUGAACCCAGGGUCUUAAGCAUGCAAGGCAAGCACUCUACCAACUAAGCUAUAUUCCCAGCCCUCUUUUUUUGAUUUUUUGAUACUGGGGAUUGAACCAAGGGGUACUUAAUCGCUAAGCCACAUCCCCAGCCAAUUUUUUAUUUUGAGACGGGGUCUCACUAAGUUCUUAGGGCCUCGCUAAGUUGCUGAGGCUGACCUUGUACUUGUGAUCCUCCUGCCUCUGCCUCCCAAGUCCCUGGGAUUACAGGCUUGCACCACCACACAAGGCAGUUUUCACUAUUCUAAGGCAUACAAUUCAGUGACAUUGGGACACUUUACAAUGUUACACAAGGACUAGAACCACAUCAUAAUUCCAAAACAAGACCCCAUUAAGCAGUCCCUCUCCAUUCCUGCCUCCUGAGCUCUUGGCAAACACUAACCUUUAGCUCUUUUCCAUAGUUUCAUAGUUUCUAUUUCUAGGCUGAUAUUUCCUGAUUGGUACUGUGCACAUAUCUGUAUAUAGAUGCUUUAACGUCCUUCCUUGUCUGUUAGUUAUAACAUCUUGAGUUUGGCUUGCUUUUUUUUUUUUUUUAUUGGAACUGGGUUGGCCUAGUGUCAGAGAUAUUUGUCCUUCCCACAGGUGACCAUGAACCUGUAUCCUGUGAAACCUCCACCUUAUCAGACAAAUGGAAGACUGUCGCACCCCCACCCCAACCUUGGAAUUCUGCAUCGGUGGCACAAUUCAGUAGGAACUGGUGAAGCAGCGAUUUCCAAGUAAAAAGUCUGUAUUAAUUACAAUUACGUAGAACUGCCCUUAUGGUAAACUUUUUACCAACAAAAUAUUCUUAUACUAACAGCAUUACCUGCCCCCCCCACACACACACAAAAAAUAACAUUAUCACAACAAGAAGUAAAUAACUGGCCAUUGUAUCUGCUUUUAUAAACAGAUAUUUCAUGGGAUUUGCCCAUCAAACAUAAAGGCACAUUUGUGAUUCUGAUAACCUAAGACUUUAAACUGUAUUACAAAAUUAUUGCUGUCCAGAGACUAAAGCUGAGGUUUACAAGCCUGUUCUGCCUUCCUGCGGGCCCACUAUGCUUAUAAAUGACACCUUCUAGUGUCUUAAAGUAUGAGAGGCAGCUAGUCCUGAAUUCUCAGGCUGCUAAUGGUUUCACAUAAAAUGAGCUCCUACAAUUUUAUUAGCACCAUGGUGGAACUUCACAGGUGAGGAGCCACCAGGGAAAGGACAAGGACACGGCUCUCAUUUCUGGCCUCUGACUGCUCCAAGAGCAAGGAAGUUUUCCACUCCAUAUUUCAAAUGAUUGCUCCAACUCCCCAGGCUGCUGAUUAAUCCAAAUAGGCUCUACUAUGUUGUUUAGGGAAACCAGGAAUAAGUCACCAAGUCAUCCCUCUGGAGAGAGGGUGAAGUGAAUUCACUUCCUAAACUCACAGCUGUGAAGCUGAUUAAGCAACUUCACUUUAUGAACCCUCAUAUUGUAUUGAGGCCUAUCAGCUGAUUGUGCACAUUGAGAAAUAACCCCUGGAAAAAAAUUAAAUUUCACCUCCCAAUCAGAUAAACCAGACAUGAGUUUCGUAAACAUGCCCACAACACAAAGAUUAUUGUAACUUGGAGAAGUGAUCAUGCUAGACACACAAGAAAAAGGUCCCAAUGGUUCUGUAAACUUCACGUUUUAGUGCCUCACAUUUAUAUGAAGUCUUAACAAUACACAACAUGCCAAACAGAGAACCGAUGGGCUGCUUUUGAAAGAAAACAACUCCUAGAAGCCUUUAAACAGGGCUGAUUACCCAAAAUUACAUGAAAUUACAUGUUCAGAUAUACAUAAUUUUGUGUAUUUCC